AAAGAAAUUAUUGUCAUGAAGGUGGAGGAGGGAGGGUGUUCUGAUGGCAGGGAGUGUAGGGGGCCCCUGGAGUCUGCAUCAGCAGCAGGUGCUCCAGGCCGUAGAACGCGCCAAGCAGGUCACCGUGGGGGAGCUGAACAGCCUCAUCGGGCAGCAGCAGCUCCAGCCGCUGUCCCACCACGCACCCCCUGUGCCCCUCACCCCCCGCCCAGCCGGGCUGGUGGGCGGCAGUGCUACGGGGCUGCUUGCUCUGUCUGGAGCCCUGGCUGCCCAGGCUCAGCUGGCGGCGGCUGUCAAGGAGGACCGUGCGGGCGUGGAGGCCGAGGGGUCCAGAGUGGAGAGAGCCCCGAGCAGGAGUGCAUCUCCCUCGCCCCCUGAGAGUCUCGUGGAGGAGGAGCGACCGAGUGGCCCUGGUGGUGGCGGGAAGCAGAGAGCAGAUGAGAAGGAGCCAUCAGGACCUUAUGAAAGCGACGAAGACAAGAGUGAUUACAAUCUGGUGGUGGACGAGGACCAACCCUCAGAGCCCCCCAGCCCGGCUACCACCCCCUGCGGAAAGGUACCCAUCUGCAUUCCUGCCCGU
rnacentral:lncRNA from 1 species